rnacentral:rRNA from 1 species
UUUUAGAUAUAAAUUGUUUUUCUACCGGAAUACUAUAAAUAACAUAUUUAAAACUCAAAGAACUUGGCGGUGCUUUAGGCUUUUUAGGGGAACCUGUUUUAUAAUCGAUAGUCCACGUUAAACCUUACUUUUUUAAAUUAUCAGUAUGUAUACCGUCGUCGUCAGGUAACUUUUAAAGAAUUAAAGAGUUAGCAAUAAAAUUGAAAAUAAGUUUUAACGUCAGAUCAAGGUGCAGCUUAUAGAAAAGUAAAAAUGGGUUACAAUUAAUAUUUUUAAUUAUGAAUAUAACGUCUGAAAUAUGCUUUUUGAAGGUGGACUUAAAAGUAAAUGUGAUAAACAUAUAAAUCACUUGAACUUUUAGCUCUGAAGCGUGC